UUUAUAUAUGCCUAUAAAAUGGCUGUCAUGCAGGAUAGAAUAGCAAAUGAUUUAACUCAGGAUUACCUUGCUGAUGCUAAUGAAGCCCUUUCUUUCAAUUUAGUUCGGACUCCUCAAGACAUGGAAGAUGGGGAGUUUUUCAGUCCAGAGAUGACACAUCAAGUAUAUGGAGAUGGUGAGCAGAUAUUUGGGUACAAGGACCUGGAGGUGCGGCUGUACAUCACAGCCGGACGACUGAACAUGUACUGCGAUGUUGAGUACAGCAGCAUUGUGAAGAAGAGCAAGUCUGUUGCUCUGGAGCCUGACGAUAUUGUUGGCCCCCUAACAAAACUGGUCCCCACCAACUGCAUCCUGGACAACCAAGACACAUUCUUGGCUCUGCUCAAGAAAGAGUCAACCUUCAAGCCGUAUGGGGAGCUGAUCAGUGUAAUAACCCCACAUAAUAAUGAUGCCAAUCAGAGGUUUGAGGUCUACAGCUGCAAUGCAGACACUCCAGGAUUCCUUGAAUACUUCGAACGCCUCCAAAUGUUUACCAUGUUCUAUGUUGAUGCUGCCUCAUACAUUGACACUUCUGAUCAUAAGUGGAACUAUUUCAUAGCUUACGAACAAUAUCAGAGCUCUGAUGGUAACCCUAUGUACGCUUUCGUGGGCUUCACGACCGUGUACGAAUUCUAUGGUUACCCCGAGCACGUGCGGCCACGCAUCUCGCAAAUGCUCGUCCUUCCUCCCUUCCAGAAGAAGGGAAUUGCUUCAGGGAUGCUGCAAGCGAUCUACAACAAGUACAUCGAUGACCCCAAAGUGCUCACUGUGUCAGUUGAGGAUCCUUCAGCAAUAUUUGGAAGCAUGCGACUGCGGGUUGACUGCCUCAAUGCCCUAACACGUCUCAAGGUCUUCUCUGUGGAGAAGCUCAAAAAGGGCAUCACCAAAGAGCAUUACGAUGAAGCAAAGACUAAACUAAAGCUUAAUAGAGACAACACGCUGCGCGUCUUCAACGUGUUGCUGUUCCGUGCCACUGACCGCAACAAUAAGGAAGACUACAAAAACUUCCGCCUCUUCAUCAAGAAUCAACUGUACGCGCCUUUCAGACGUCAAGACAGAGAGCUAGCAAAACUGGAAAAAUACAAUCUAUCCAAAGAAGAGAUCAGCGAAACUCUGGCCUUUGUUCCUAAGGACAAAAGACCUGACAUCAUCCACCAGGAGUACCUUGACUUGGAAUCCAAACUCUCAAUGAUUGUCGAGAAGUUGCCUCCACUUUCUGAUGAAGAACGAAAGCUCCUCGGUCGGUGAAGGAAAUUUAAUUUGAAUUAAUUUUCCUUCAAAAGGCUCGUUCCCUGUGACUAAAUGCCUUCAACUUGAGCUUACCGAAUGUGAAGGCCUAAUGCUUCAUAAAAAUUAUUAUUGAAUAUGAUUAAGCAAUGUUCAAACGCACUUUAGUUCAAACGCAACUUUACUCCACUUAAUGCCUGAAAAUGAAACUGCACGACAAGAAAUUAUUUUCCCACUUUUUUGUGUUGAUUAUAUUUUAAGGAAUGAAAGAAAAAUGGGGAACAUUUCUAGUUCCAAAUGUGAGGUAUUUUUUUGCAUGCUAUUUAUUGCUAUGUAAGUCAUGGGGUGACAUGCUUCAGAAUAUGUUUGAGUUCAGCAUGAGACUUUUUACACUUCUGGCUAUGAAAAUGAAGAUUAUUGAUCGGAAAUUGUAUUGUACCUAAGCAUUAAGUGCAUGGUUUUCAUGAAUAAAUAGCACUAUCAAUACCAUGUAGUAUUUUUUGUGUCACCAGGCGCCAGUAUUACCCAUGGAUUGUCUAUCAACUGUCGCGCCGGACAUUGUGUCGUAGCUUGCGUUUUUCAGUCAGGGUCUAUCAUCCUCGAAUGAUUAAUGAUUUUUAUUUCAGUCUCAUUUGCUUAUCAUUAGUGGGUUAUUAUUGAAGGUUACUACUGGAUUCAUAUUUAGAUCCGUGUCCCAUAAAUACGCCAGUUCUGUUGUAGACAAACAUCUAAACAACUGAAGAAAUUUUGAAAUCUAGAAAUCCAUGAAGCUAUUGAACCCGCGAUGCAGUAGAUUUUAAUGACCUGUUUGAGUAAGUUUGUUAGAAAUUUUUGUUUUUGAUAACUUGGAAAAAAAUGUGUAUGUCGUUGUGAGAUAUUGUAGACCGCAGAGCGCAGCGACCAACACUUCUCGCAGCUUAGCUAGACAUUUGUUGCCAUAAAUUAAUAUUGAAUUAAAAAUGAUGGGAAUCUAAGGUGGUUACAGAAUGGGCUUAUCACUUCACUUGAACAUUAUGGGAUAAACUUACAAUUCUAAUAAUAUAAACCGUAUUGACCUUUCAAAAGAAUUUGUUACACAAAGAGAGUUUAAAAUUUAUUUAUUUAUUUUUGCUUUAUGUCCAUUAUGUUUUAUAGCUUGAAAGUAUUGGAACAAAACACCUCUGGGUUCCUUAACUUAAAAUUUAAGCUUGACGCUUUAUAUGAUGCGUAGUUUUGCGUGCUAUACUUUGGGCAGAAGUUAUGUGCACAGUCUAAUAUAUAUUUUUGCAUUCAACUUGCGAUUUCAUAAAAAAACUGAAAAAAGCGCACAUAGCAUGAUUAAUGUCCAAUCUGAUUACUCGGAAAUUUAAUUCACUGCCUUUAUUCUUAUAGAAUCAAAUUGCUUAACAAUUUAAAGCUAGGGAACAUGAAAACGUUUCUGUCUAUCAAUUGUCAUCUUGACGGAUGUUGACAACGGCUGAUGUAUCGGUAGACAAAGGCUGACAACGGCUGAUGUAUCGGUAGACAAAGGCUGACAACGGCUGAUGUAUCGGUAGACAAAGGUUGACAACGGCUGAUGUAUCGGUAGACAAAGGCUGACAACGUCUACUUCAUCUGUGUGUCGUGCAUGAGCAAGAAAACUGGUGCAUCGCAAGUAACCUGAAAUGUCGUGUCAGCUGCGCUGGUGAGAAGUAUGGUCGCUGCAGGGGAAGUGGGAUACCCUCCGGUGCUCUGAGUUUAUCGCAUGAAAUUAUCAUUUUCCCAUAACUUGCCCUGCUAUUUGCUGCAGAAAUUCUCUUCGUCUGCUCUGAAAUAGAGUAGCUUUUAUAGAUUCCAAAAUUGGUUCGCCAGUCACUUUUUCGAAAGUUCAACUCUUUAACUAUUUUGAAAUUCUGUCUCUGGUCAAGCAUUGGGCUAAGACCGUUUGUAUUGCUCAAAACAAAAAUUUUUAUAUUAAUGGUCUUUAGGUUUUUGACUUUUUACAAUUAAAAAUCAAGUUUA
rnacentral:misc_RNA from 1 species